rnacentral:rRNA from 1 species
ACGCUCGACACCUACGGGAGGCAGCAGUGGGGAAUAUUGCACAAUGGGGGAAACCCUGAUGCAGCGACGCCGCGUGAGCGAAGAAGUAUCUCGGUAUGUAAAGCUCUAUCAGCAGGGAAGAAGAUGACGGUACCUGACUAAGAAGCACCGGCUAAAUACGUGACAGCAGCCGCGGUAAUCUGAGCGGGCUGGCAAGGC